UCAUAAGAUAGUACAAUAUACCCCGACGGUCCCGAACGAGGAGUAAAUAAGAUUUGCUUUAGCUACGUGUUGUUUAACUAUUGGUUAAGAGUCUGUUUCGCUAUAAAAAAUAACAUAAUAUCCAUUUCCGGAUAGUUACGGAUAUUCGACGGCAGUGGAGGUCAGAGGCGUAAUUUACCUAUUAGCAGUUACUGACACGUCUCCGUAAAAAAGAUUUACCACCACGCUGAGAUGAAAACGACAACAUUGUCAAUUAAAAUUUUAAAAAGAUUAAACGGUAAGAAAUAAUUACCACGUGACGUGGCAUUUACAGUGCCUAGUCAGCUUUC
rnacentral:lncRNA from 1 species